AACGAAUUACUUUUCAUUUUUUUCUCAAAAAUAGUUUUUCAAAUAGAUUUUAAAAACCAAAAAUCAAAAAUCAAAAGUGAUUUAAACAGACCGUUAGUUUUCUCUUCUUAAUCGAGGGUGUGCCUAGUCUCUAGAAACCAAGUGAAUGUGUCUUGGAUUGGACCCUCGUAUGUUUCAGUAUUUCCGUCUUUUUGACGUAUGGCUAACCAGAACAAUUUCUCCUAAAAUUUUACCAUUGUUGAAGAAUGUGAAAACGAGAUUAGCAUGCCGACCUUCUCUUCUAUUGUGGUCUUCUCGACAUGUAUUUGAUUUUAUGGAAAUGUAAAAGGUCGGUGAGUG
rnacentral:lncRNA from 1 species